rnacentral:rRNA from 1 species
AACCCAGCACCUCAAGUGGUCAGGAGGAUUAUUUGGCCUAAAGCAUCCGUAGCCUGUUCUGUAAGUUUUCGGUUAAAUCCAUUAGCUCAACUAAUGGGCUGCCGAAAAUACUGUAGAACUAGGGAGUGGGAGAGGUAGACGGUACUCGGGAGGAAGUGGUAAAAUGCUUUGAUCUCUCGAUGACCACCUGUGGCGAAGGCGGUCUACCAGAACACGUCCGACGGUGAGGGAUGAAAGCUAGGGGAGCAAACCGGAUUAGAAACCCGAGUAGUCC